rnacentral:rRNA from 1 species
CAGUCGCCGCGGGAAUACGGAGGGUGCAAGCGUUAAUCGGAAUUACUGGGCGUAAAGCGCACGCAGGCGGUUUGUUAAGUCAGAUGUGAAAUCCCCGAGCUUAACUUGGGAACUGCAUUUGAAACUGGCAAGCUAGAGUCUUGUAGAGGGGGGUAGAAUUCCAGGUGUAGCGGUGAAAUGCGUAGAGAUGUGGAGGAACACCGAUGGCGAAGGCGGCCAUCUGGGACAACACUGACGCUGAGGCACGAAAGCGUGGGGAGCAAGCAGGAUUAGAUACCCCGGUAGUCCCUGUCUCUUAUAC